CCCGAGGGCCGACGGGAACGCAGGCCCCGCCCCCCAAGGGGCACGCACCUCUCUGGGCCGCGUCCGCGGCGACGGCGCUCCGGAGGGGGUGACGGACGGCUAGGCCCCUCCCCGCGCCCGGCCGCGUCCGGGCCCCCGCCUGGGAAGGGAUGCGGUAAGGCGCGACCCUGUCGGCUGCUGGACUCCGAGCGCUGGAGAGCGGGGCCAGGGCGCACGUGUGCCGCGCCGCGUCCAGAAGAAGCUAAAUGACCGGUAUUGGUUGCUAACUUUAUUCCUGCAUGCCCACACUGCUUGCCCUGGGAUCUCCUGCACACGGCACCAGGCACUGCAUUUGGUACCAGCUGAAAAUGUGUAUCUAAAAUGCAAGCUCACCUUAGCAGAAGCCUUUGGACAGCAUUGCCCUGUCCUCUAAAAUUGGAUCAUGAAGGUAUUGGAAAAAAAUUACUUUUGGAUGUUGCUUCCACUGCUUCGUUUGAUAGCCGAUGCUGCGGAACAUGAAGAGGUAGCAAAACAUGCCAUAAAGUUACACCGAGGCAGAGGGGCAGCCAUCACUCAGAGGAAGCAGUGGGUCCUCGAUAGUUGCAGAAAGCUCUCUGGGCUGCUUCGCCAAAAGACUGUGGUUCUUAACAAACUGAAAAGUGCAAUCAGAGCAGUGGAAAAAGACGUUAGCCUGUCAGAUGAAGAGAAACUAUUUCAGGUGCACACAUUUGAAAUUUUCCAAAAAGAGCUGAAUGAAAGUGAAAACUCAGUGUUCCAGGCGAUCUAUGGCCUCCAGAGAGCCCUGCAGGGAGACUACAGAGAUGUUGUGAACAUGAAGGAAAGCAGUAGGCAGCGUCUGGAGGCCCUGAGAGAGGCUGCGAUAAAGGAAGAGACAGAAUAUGUGGAACUUCUGGCAGCAGAAAAACAUCAAGUUGAAGCUCUCAAAAAUAUGCAACAUCAAAACAAAAGUUUAUCCAUACUUGAUGAAAUUCUUGAAGAUGUGAGAAAGGCAGCCGAUCGUCUAGAGGAAGAAAUAGAAGAACAUGCUUUUGAUGACAAUAAAUCAGUGAAAGGGGUCAAUUUUGAGGCAGUUCUCAGAGUAGAAGAAGAAGAGGCCAAUUCCAAGCAAAACCUUACGAAGCGGGAAGUGGAAGAUGAUUUGGGUCUUAGCAUGCUCAUCGAUUCCCAGAACAACCGAUACAUCUUGACCAAGCCUCGAGAUGCCACGAUUCCACGCGCAGAUCACCACUUCCUAAAGGACAUUGUUACCAUAGGAAUGCUGUCUUUACCUUGUGGCUGGCUGUGCACAACAAUAGGAUUGCCUACGAUGUUUGGUUAUAUCAUCUGUGGAGUACUUCUGGGGCCUUCAGGACUAAACAGUAUUAAGUCUGUUGUGCAGGUGGAGACCUUGGGAGAGGUUGGUGUGUUCUUUACUCUGUUCCUCGUUGGCCUGGAGUUCUCCCCAGAAAGGCUGAGAAAGGUGUGGAAGAUAGCCUUACAAGGACCGUGUUAUAUGACGCUGUUAAUGAUCGCAUUUGGCUUGUUAUGGGGACACCUUUUACAGAUCAGACCCACUCAGAGCGUCUUUAUUUCUACUUGCUUGUCCUUAUCGAGCACACCCUUGGUGUCCAGAUUCCUCGUGGGCAGCGCCCGGGGUGAAAAAGAAGCAGGUGACAUCGACUACAGCGCGGUGCUGCUUGGGAUGCUCGUCGUGCAGGACGUGCAGCUGGGCUUGUUCAUAGCUGGCAUGCCCACCCUUAUCCAAGCUGCAGCCGGUACCUACUCCAGUGUUGUCAUGGAGACCCUGCGGAUCCUGGCUUUGGUCGGUCAGAUCCUCUUCUCACUAGCUGCUGCUUUUCUUCUGUGUCUUGUUAUAAAGACUUACCUCAUUGGACCAUAUUAUCGGAAACUGCACAUGGAAAGCAAAGGGAACAAAGAAAUCCUUAUCUUAGGAAUCUCUGCUUUCAUCUUUUUAAUGUUAAUGCCCCACAGCUGUGCUCCUCACCACGGGCCCCAGAGAAGUGAAGACUCGGGUUCCCACGGAAACUCACAUGGGAAUGUUCACAGCAGCUGUAUCCGUAGCAGCCAAAGACCACCUAGAUGUCCUUCAGCAGAUGCCUGGCUGCACCAGCUGUGGUCCGUCCACACCAGCGAAGACCACCCAGGUCUAAAACAACGGGCACAAGAAUCUCCAGAGAAUUAUCCUGAGCAGGAAAAGCCAGUCCCGAAGGUCGCAUACUGUGUCACGGAGCUGCUGGACAUCUCCAUGGAGCUGGGCUGCUUCCUGGCCGGAGCGCUCAUCUCUUCCCAAGGCCACAUGGUCACUGAGGAGGUCGUGUCUUACAUCGAGCCCAUCCGUGACUUCCUGGUUAUCAUCUUCUUCGCAUCCAUAGGCCUUCACGUGUUCCCCACUUUCGUGGUGUAUGAGCUCACCAUCUUGAUGGUCCUCACGCUGUCGGUGGUGAUCAUGAAGGGUGUCCGGCGAGGGCUCGCGUCUGUUUUCUGCUCGGCCGGCAGGCUCGGGCGAGGCAGUAACGGGUCACUCUCGCAGUUUGCUCUGGCAGCUCUGGUCUUGUCCCUCCUCCUGCCGAAGAGCAGUCAGUACGUCAAGUGGAUCGUGGCCGCGGGGCUGGCGCAGGUCAGCGAGCUCUCUUUUGUCCUGGGGAGCAGAGCGCGCAGAGCUGGUAUCAUUUCUCGGGAGGUGUACCUCCUCAUCCUGAGUGUGACCACACUCAGCCUCUUGCUGGCCCCGGUGCUGUGGAGAGCUGCCAUCACGAGGUGUGCGCCUCGGCCAGAGAGACGGUCGAGUCUCUGAGGGCAGCGACAGGGACACGCGGCUUCAGAAGCGAGAUCCCUCGCCUCGGGGACAAAGCGCUCCGUGGGAGGGGCUCCCCGUGUACCCAGCGUGCCGACUUCCUGCCGUAGCUUGGGGUCUUCCAGAGUAAUUUAUUGCAUUCAGUUGAUCAUGCACAGUAUAAGUAUAACGCUGCAUUUUACAGAUCACCUUGACUGUUUUGCCUGGAUGUGCCUUUUUUUCUGAAAUUGUUAACUUUCUAUUGUUACUUCAUCGGUUCAUGAUUUUUUGGUAAAAAAAAAAUCAGAAAGGUUUUUUAUUUAUUCAACUUUUGUGUUGUAAUCUGUUGGUCAAUAUUUGUUAUUAAACAUUUCUGUGAUAUGAAAUUUUAAUUCUGGCAGUGAGUUUGGAAAGUUACUUUAGUCCUUACUGUUUUCUAAAAUGACAAAUAUCUUCUAAAUGUCUAUUUGUUUUUAUUACAAUAAUUUUAAAUAAAACAUUCAUGUCAGUUUAUUAAAUGUCAUUUAAAAUAUUUGCUUUGAAUCACAAGAAUAUGCAUGCUUUAAUAAAGAUCAUUUAUGAUCGGAGAAAUUAAUUGAAAUUUAUUGGAAUUUUUCUUAGAUUUUCGUGUUAAACUAAUCUUUGACAGUUUUCAAAAGUUAGGAUGAUUUGUACCUUGCCACAUCAUUCUCUAAGAGACCAAAGCCUAAGCUGUAACUUUGAUUUUUAAAGUAUAUUUUGGUUCCUACAUGGUCCAUUUUGGAGAACCCAGGGCUGGAAGGUCUGAUCUUACAGAUUUCCCCGAGGGGCGCUGUGAGUGGAGUGUCCUGUCAAGAUGGGCGUUAGGAGCCUAGCAGUCUGACCAGAGCCCUCACGGCCGAGGGAAGGCCGCCUCGUGCACGACGACGUACCGCAGGUGUGACCGUGUGAUUAACACUCUGGGAGGAAGUAGCUGCCUCUGGUCCGCAGGAAAUUGGCAGAGAAGUGAUACAGCCCUGGUUUUAUUCAUUUCUCAGUCGGCGCAUCAGUGCCCUUCCCUCCAAACCGCUGGGUGUGGACGCGUGGGCAGGACGCUUUCUCUUACCCGUGCGUGUGCCCACCUUGCCCGGCAGGCGGAACCCGCUCGCGGCGGCCUCUGGGGUGCCUCUUCUUGUUCUUUCAUUUUGGAUCCCCAGCACCUGAGGGCAGAGCCAGGAGCUCGAGAAAUUGUGUUGAGCUGAAGGGGACCUAUUUGCGCUGACACAGUUGUCCCCAGAACAUGGAGGUAGCAUCGCUGUGAGAGAGUGCUGAGUCGAGACGCCAAGAGGACGCACCUCUGGAAGACCCCAGCCCCAGGACGAGGCCUCCUCACCUUCCGCUCACCUCUCAGGGACCACCAUCCACGCCCCUGCCACACAGUGAGGCCACAGAGCCCUCCACGGCCCUGUCCUCACUCUCCCCUCCUCAUCCAGGCUUGGGGAGCUCAGCUCUCUCCUCUCCGCCCCUGCAAGCCCCUGCCCCUGCGGCCAUCAGCGUUUCCUCUGUGGCCCAGUCCGGCUUCGAUCGCUGGCAGAGGAAAGCGUGCUUGCCGACCAGCCCUGCAGUGAUGUCCUCACCUGGAAUUUAAAACUUGGUGUCCGGUUUGAGUCUGUUCCUUGUGGAUUGACAUUUGAGACGCAGAGCUGAAGACAGAGGGGCGGGUGGGGGCGCCACCUGCUGACAGCAAGCGCCUCACCCGGUCCCCAACACCCGUUGUCACACCAGGAGCGCUCGCCGGACCCCCAGCUCCUCCCGCCUCUGGUCCCCACGCGCAUCGCACGCGUUCCAACCUGCUGGCGCCCUCGCAUGGCCCUCCCCCUUCCCGGGUCCGAGUGCUGCCCCUAAGCCUCUGGGAGGUAGGCCCCCGCAUCCUCGGUGUCCUGGCGUGCUGCUGGGCGUGGGGGGCAGGAUGGAGGCCUGAGCCCCACGUGGAAGAGCUUCAUUCGGCCUGAGGGAAGCCGGAGGACGUCCAGCACCGUCUGGCUGGAAGGUUGAGAGCCGCGGCUGUUGGAGCAGAUCUUCCGUGGGAGGCCGCGUCCGCGUGGGUGUGGUCGCCUCAGGAAACAGCGUUGCUGCUGGGACGCCCCCCCUCGAGGCCCCUCGCCCUGCCUCCCCGGCCCUUCAGAGCUCCCCGCCGGUGCCCGCUUCCUUCUCUGACGAGCCGUUAGGGGCGCGAACGCUUUCACAGAAGCGCUGCGUCCUGUGGUCUUCCACUCAACCGCGUGUUUCUGACUCAUCCUGGUGCCGAGCCUGAGGCAGACAUUCUCACCUUCUGUGACCAUCGCUUCCGUGAAGACGCUGCAAAGUGCUUCUGUCGCCACCUGUGUCCCAACACUGUCACCAUGGAACAGUUCGGAGGAAGAGGCAGGGGUUCCUCACGUGCGGCCUCGGGGUCUUUGACUCCUGCAGGUAGACACAGAAGCGUUCCUGGGCGCCCAGGGGUGUGUGCCAGGAGCUUCUCAAGCAGCACGUUAGCACCUACCUGGUGGCGGUCAGCCUUUGUCACCUCCUCCACAGGACACUCACGAGCCACAAAAGAUCCUCUGACGGCCUGUGUUGAGGCGCUAGUCCCAGGGCAGGGGUGACGUGGAGCGACCCGAAAGUGCCCGACCCACGGUGGGUGUGGCUGUGUCACAGACGGGUCUGGGGGGACGCCCAGUGGCGUCCACGAGUCCAGGAUGACUUGGGAGCUGUCCACCCAGCACGGCUCUGUCCAGACGGAGUCCGGGUCCCAUCGGUCGGGACUGGGGCCUGAACAUGAGUGUUUCUUUUUUUUUUUUUUUUAAGAUUUUAUUUAUUUAUUUGACACAGAGAGAGCGAGCACAAGUAGGCAGAACGGCAGGCAGAGGGAGAGGGAGAAGCAGACUCCCCGCUGAGUGGGGAGCCCGAUGCAGGGCUCAAUCCCAGGACCCUGGGACCAUGACCUGAGCCGAAGGCAGACGUUUAACCGACUGAGCCAGCCAGGCACCCCAACAUGAGUGUUUCUAACACAUUUCCAGGCAGGGCUGAUGCUGCUGGGCCGGGAGCACCUGGGAGAUGCAGCCGUCCAGCUCAUGGUGGCCCUAGCUGCACCUUUGCUGACUGGACACGUGAACCCAGAUGGUGAAGAUAAAGGCCUCCGAGCCAGGAACAGAGUCUGGAACAGAGCCGCCGCGGCACUGGGCUCCGUGGAUCACUGAGCAGCAUCUCUCCAACAGCAGACUCUGGUGGAGGAGGCGUCCCCUGGAGUGGAUCAUGGCCGUGGGAGCACAGCCACCCAGCCAGGAAAGUGCUGUUGCCGGGCCUCUGGUUCCAUCAUACACACGUGUGUCACAUGUGUGUGGUGGCCAGUCAGACUUUGAAACUGCUGGUGUAAGGGAAGAGGGUCCAGGAGGGCAGAAAGCAGGUGCUUCCUGGGGCUGGGGGGCCGUGGGGGCGCUCAGGAGACCCUAGCUUCCAGCAGCUUCGGCCCCGACCAGGCGCCAGGCGAGCACCACCGCGGGCGUCCAGAGCAGAGAGGGAGGCUGGCGUGCUUCCCAGGGAGCGCCCACGUGUCCGUCCGGACUGGGGUGCAGGCUGCACACGGGGGGCGUACCAGUUGUCCGGACGAAGCAAGCAACUGGAAUCUCUUUAAACGUAACCAGAUUAUUUCAUGAUUCAUGAAUAAAAUAAAGUGUGGAGAAAUGACCCAAGAACUUAGGUGUGCGCACAGGGGAGAGGAGGCGGGCGCCGGGAAAGAAGAGAGCGUUUACAAACAAAGGGGCAUCGUUAUUUCAAAAGGAGGAGUGUCUGAGAGGGAGAACAUCACAUCAAGCUGCGGGGCGGGUCCUGCAGCCGGUCCCUGGGGGAUGUCCCGUGGGAGGCGCUUUUAUGGACUUGCUGUUACCUCAUACCCGCUUUAGGGAUCAAAGUGUUGUCUUGGCAUGGAUCCCUCACAUGGGGGGUUGGACAACAUUUUGAGAUGUGUUUCCUCCCCUCAGUUACCUUUUCUUCCCUCAAAAUGGACUCAGGGUGGAUCAUAAUAGUCCAGAGGACAGAAGUAGCCUGCAAGUCUUCCUGAUGUUUUACAAAAGCCCUCCAAAAUUUGGAGGGUCCACCAAGAAGGUAAAAGGAAGGUGAAUUAGCACAUUAAGGUGGAGGUUGGGGAGCCGCCCCACGUGGGCUAGAGGACAGGAUCCAGCAGCCUCACGAAGGACCCCACAUGCCCGUGGAGUCAUGGCCAUGACCCUGCACAUCCUGGGUGGAGAGGAGAAAACCCCAAGAGCAAGAGGAAAGCCCCCAGGAGCCCAGCGGAUGGACAGAGGCUGAACAUAGGCCGGCUGUCCAAGGAUGCCGCCUCUCAGCCCUGGGACCACGCACCAGGCUCCUGCACGGGCAGUGGGCGGCUCCCUCGUCCACGCCGGUCUCGCCGCUCGGCCGGCUCCAGCGUGCGGUCUGCCCCGAGAACCAGGGCGGGCUGUACCCUUUCCAGGUUCACACACGCUUCCAAAUUCCUUUUGGUAGCCACCGUUUGCCCGCAAACCUUUACUUGAAAUGUGAAGAUUAGAGAAGGAAGGUGGACACAAACCCAGGAGGACUGAAAAGUGGAGGGUAAUCCAAAUGACAGUUUGGUGGUCGGCAAGUCGGCUAGAUGUCUGGC